rnacentral:lncRNA from 1 species
GGAGAAAAUGAGCUGCCUCAGUAAUAUACCUCCUCUGACAAAGCUGAAAGUGCCUGGCUAUUUCUCAGCAAAUGAAAAAAAGUCUAAAGGAAUGAGGUCAUAAGAAUGGCUGAAUCAAAUGACCAUGAGACAGCUGUGUCCAAAUUUCUAUGUGGUAUUUAUAUAGUGAAUACAAAUGAGAAAUCUGAUUUGAAGGUGUGGAGAGCUCUGCUCCACUUAUGCAUGAAAGUCUCUUAUGAAAGUGUAUGCAAAAUUCAGAUGUGUGCCACUGGUUUUGGAGCUACAGAACAUGCAAUUUCCACCCCCGUGAUAAAUAUUCAUACCACUUAAUUGCACACAGAUAAUGACAUCUCCAAGUAUUGCUGCAGCAUCAUGUCUGCUUUCCUUUCUUAGUUGUUUCCUCAGAGGAUCAGUUCUGCUCUGCUUAGGACCAAAACCUGAGAGCAUUCCCACGGGGUUGUGCUGACAACACAGACAGUGGGGUAGUCACAAGUCUCUGGAAUAAGCUUUUCAUUAAGGUUCUUUAUCCUACAAAACAACCAAAAAGCAGUUGAGGUAGUACAGAGUUCACAGAGGCUAGUUUAUCAGGCUCCUAAGCAGACUAGCCAUGCAUCUAUAGCCUGUUUGUAUGACUCUCUCCACAAGUGCAGACAUAGCUUGCAAGGUCACAGAGAAUUCAGAAGUACAGGAACAGCAAAAGAGUAUGAAAAUUACAAAUAUAUUGUCAUGCUUAACAGGUUACAGUUGCUUUCAAACAGAAGGUAUCUCAAAGUUAC